AUUCCUCCAUUUUUGACAUUCAAUUUGGUCAAACAAAGGAUCAGGGAUUCAUUAGAUUCUCAAAUAAUACAUAGUGCGAUACAGUCAAAACAAGGUAUUAUUAUUAUUAUAUAUUUGAAUAUUCUAAUUCGAAUAAAAAACGAAUAUGAAUAGAUACCUAGAAAACAAGUAAAAAAAAAAAAACCAUCAACGGACUCUUUCUCCUCGCUUUUUCCAUCGAAUCGUGUCGUGCUCUAGGAUAAGAAGCCAGUUAGAAAUCCUUUAUUUUAUCAGCGCAAUCGCUCUUUUGAUUUUUGGAAAAAAAAAUAUCUUUAUCAAUAUACUCUUUCUUGUACACAUUUAUCGCCAUCCCAUAAUGGAGAAUAGCUAUAUAGUUAGUACUAAUAACAAAAAUAAAUAAAAAAUAUAUUUGUGGCAAAAGCUUUUCCCACAUCAAGCACAAGUUGAUUUUUAACAUACAAUUAGAUGGGACAAUCAUUCAAAUAAAAAGGGAAAGCUGGUAAUAUUAUAUAAAUAUAUGAAUGAUAAAUUAUGUAUCAAUGGCACAUAGAAACAUAGGCGGAAUUAAUAGAAAUUAAAGUAAUAUAUUGAUAGAGACCCAAUCAGGCCACCCCAACCAAGACCCAACAGAUUGAAGCAAAUACCCACCUGGCUUAAGGACUGUGUUAUUAAUUAAAUUACAAUGUUUACUUUUAUGUUAUGAACUUUUCUGGGCUUGGAGCUACUUGAGCCCAACCUGUAAAAAUUAACCUGAUGUUGCUGAGUUAGUAUUUACCCCCUAUGGUUUGGAGGCUGAGGUAUCAAUGCAUGAAAGGAAAUAUAUGACUUACUUCUGCAGAUUUUUGUAGAAAAGCUCCAGGAGAACAAGGAUCAACAAGAUGCAAAGUAUGAGGCCAUUGUUGAAGCACUACGUAAUAUCACUGACAAACUCACAAAUAUCAUUUCCUUUUCUCUACCCUAAAUAAUGUUUUUAAAAUACAAAUAUCAACAAAAAGCAAUUAGAACUAGUCCUCACUUCAUUUGCAUAAUUAAAUGAAAAGGGUUGGAGUGUGUAACUAUAUAAUAAAUAUAGGAAUAUUAACAAUUACUCUCAUGUUCUUCUAUAUGUUGUUUAUAUUUUAUUUGAUUGAUAGAAGAAAGUCAGAAUAGGGAAAGAUGGAAGAGAGAUACUAAGAAUAUAAUUAAAACAAGAAAAACUAAUAUUAACUUGAACUUUGGAAACAACAUAUAAAUAAGAAUUCUUUAAAAAUGACACAAGGAAGGAAGGGAGUAGUAAUUACAAAAAUUAGGUUUCAGUUUUAAAAAUUAUUUUUAAGGAUAAUAAAUAAGAUAAAAGAUGGAAAGUCUUUAUUAGGAAGUAGUGUGUUUAAUCUAUUCAACAUUUAAAAUCAUCAUUUUCCAAUCUAUACUUUCCUAAGAUUAAGGGUGACAUUAUUAUUUCAUUUUUUCUCUUAAUGACAUUCUCUUGUUUUUAUCCAAAUGAAAAAUUGUUGAUUAAGAAAAUGGAUAGAGAUGAAAAUGAAGAGAAUCUCCAUAAUUUUUACUCCAAUGUUUUACAUUAUUUUUGAACAAUCUUUUUUAAAAAAAAUUAAGAAAGAAAAUAUAUAUGUUUCCUAAAAGAGAAAUUUAUACUGUAAUAUACAAAUUAUCUUGAGAAUUGAGAUAUGAAAAUCAUUGCUCGGUAAAAUUGCCAAUGAAGGUGCAUCUAUGAGAGGAGCAAUGAUGACAUGUCUUACAAAUUACUAUUUUCAUAUCCCAAAUCAAUUACAUUCCAUUAAAUGAUCUAAAAAAAAUAUUUUCUAUUUUUAUAAUUUAUAAUUUUAAUUAUAUGUCAAUUUUUGAUGAAAUUAGGAUAUAAAUAAAAUACUAAAAAUGAGAUAGGUGUAGUUUAUUCUUACUAGACACCCCAAAUCCUAAUAUGCGUGAUGUAGGAGUGGCCAACAAGAUUGGCCCACAAAAAGUUGAUGGACAUUAUACUUGAUGAGAUCCAAUUUGGACUCUAAGGGUUAGUUUGGGAGUUGGAUUUUGGAGGGGAAGGAAGGGAAAGGGAAGGCUUGGGAGUCAUCUCCCAAGUGUAUUUCAUGGCUCCCAAGCCUUCCCUUUCCCUUCCUUCCCCUCCAAAAUCCAACUCCCAAACUAACCCUAAAGGGAUGAAUGGUUGGGAAGAUGGAAAUGUAAGCUGUGUUAGGACUUGACCUGCAUGGAAAAGCUGAAAACUUUGGGUAUCAGAUACCAAAAUAUCAGCUAUGGAAACGUGGCUCUAGGAGCUUGAUUCAUUUUCCUUGCAACAUAUCUACACUUAGUUUUUAUAAUCUAUCAUGUAGUGUAAAAGAAUUUUUUAAGUCAUCUUUAUAUCAUCAAUUAUUCAUAUUUUAAUUAUUUUACUGAUGUUGAUUAACUCAUUUGAAUAGUGAUGGCUUAAGUGGUUAGUAAAAGGGUUAAUCUUUGAGUCUUUAUCUUGUAAUAUUUUAAGCAUUAUUGUGCUUAGUAUACCUAGCUGUUUAACCCGCUUUUGUGUAGUAUGGAUUUGUCUCUUGGUGUGAGAUCACCACAGAGAUUGAAAUUCUUCACCAAGGCUAGGAGGUCUUGAUUUGAGGAUAAGAAUCUUGGCUGGGGCUAGUUCUUCUCAAGAGGCGAAGGGUAGAGUCAAACCAAGGAUGUAUAGAUCAUAGAUUUCAUGAAGUGAGCGUCCUAUGUGCUUGUAAAUGAAUUGGUAUUUGUAUCCAUUUUUCAAUAUUGUGAAGAAAUAAAAUCUCCCUGAUCCAGAAGGGGAGGCCUGGAUGUAGUUUGCAGUGGACCGUAAACGAACCAGGAUAAAAAUCCUUUUUGCACUGUUCUUUCUCUCUUUUAUCUUCUUUAUGUUUCUUUCCAUUAUAAAUUGAAUCUGUAAUUGAAAAAUUGGAUAUUUGUUUACUACCAUAUACUUAAUAAUUGUGCGUAAAAAUAUCUGAAUUACAAAUAUCAUCUCGGAUAGAGACCCGUGCGUUACCUCGAAGUUCUAGAAUGGUUGGCAAACAACUUUGGGUACCAAGUUGAGUAUGCGUUCAACCUACCAUCCGCAGACUGAUGGUCAAUCAUAAAGGAUCAUUAAAUCAUUGGAAGAUCUUCUCAGAGCUUACGUGUUGGAGCAUUCGGGAAGCUGGCUCACUACCUACAUUUGAUUGAGUUCACCUACAAUAAUAGUUUUCAUUCCAGUAUUAGAAUGGCGCCAUACGAAGCUCUCUAAUGUAGAAAGUGUAGAACACUCCUAUGUUGGUUUGAGGCGGGAGAGAAUCUAGUGUUAGGACCCGAUGUAGUUCAACAGACGACGGAGAAAACUAGAAUGAUAAGGGAAAACAUGAAGACUGCACAGAGUAGACAGAAGAGUUAUUAUGAUAGGAGAAGAACCCCUCUAAGCUUUGAAGAAGGAGAUCAUGUGUUUAUGAGGGUGGUUCCAACAACUGGCAUUGGAAGAGUACUUAAAUCCCGUAAGCUUAUCCCUAGGUUCAUAGGGCCAUACCAAAUCAUUAGAAAAGUCGGACUGGUAGCUUACCGAAUAGCCUUGCCCCCUUUGCUACCAAACCUACAUAAUGUCUCCCAUAUGUCCCAACUCAGAAAAUACAUUAGUGACCCGUCGCAUGUCAUUGAACCCGAAUCAAUUCAGCUAAAGGAUAAUCUCACUUUCGAGACUUGGCCGUUGAGAAUUGCCGACCGGAGUGUGAAAACUCUGCAAGGUAAGGAAAUCGCCUUAGUUAAGGUGAUUUGGAGUCAGACGAAUGGAGAAGAUGCUACUUGGGAGGUCGAAACUGGCAUGAAGGAAUCAUUUCCCCAUUUGUUUUCUUAGAAGGUACGUUUAAUUUUCGAGGACGGAAAUAUUAUAAGUUGGGGAGGAUGGUAACACCGUGUUAAGGUAUUCUCUCUCUUUUUCUCUUCUCCAUUUUUCUCCACAUACACCAUGAGAAAAUCAUGAUCUCUUAGUAUGUUAUUCAUGGAGUUGAGUUUAUGUUUGUUUUCUUUAAAUAUUUUUUAAGUCAUGACUAAAGGGGAUGAUAAUGAAAUCAUAUGAACCUUUGUGUAGUUUUUGACUUAUGUAAAACUUAAAAUUUCUUCCUUGUUCUUAGAUGGAAAAACUAUAUCUUUGGACAAGGUUAGAUGAGUUUAUUUGCUUUAGAAAUAUUCGAAAUUAUUGUUAGUAUUUGAAUGUGUUUAAAGGUGAUGAUUUGAACAUCAAAGGAANNNNNNNNNNNNNNNNNNNNNNNNNNNNNNNNNNNNNNNNNNNNNNNNNNNNNNNNNNNNNNNNNNNNNNNNNNNNNNNNNNNNNNNNNNNNNNNNNNNNAAAGGUUGUUUAGCAUAUGCUAUUCUUUGAUUUCCAAGUUAAAGUAAUGAUUUGGGAUAAAAGACGAUUUAUUAAAGUCUUGACGUCAUAAACUUAAAGUAUUAUGAAGUUUUGGAUAAUAAAUUAGUAAAAGUGUUAACUUAUGAUUUAUAGUUCAUGACUAUGAAAUCAACACCUAUUAACCCUUGAGGUUAUCCUAAUAUUUGGAGGUGUUGAGAUGAUCAUGAAAUUAGUUGUGUUUUCUUUAGUAGCAUACUUUAAAUGAGGAUAUUGACCUAAAAAGUCUGGACUUNAUCUAAAGUGUUAUGAAGUCUUAGAUAGAAAAAUGAUUUAAAAGUGUUGAUCUUGGUUAAGUUAGCUUACUUUAAAGUGGUAAGAUUGACUUAAAAAGUCUUGAUUUAAAAGUAUUGAUUUUGUUUAAGUUGACUUACUUUAAAAUGGUAAGUCUACCUUAAUAAUCUUACUUAAAAAAGUUAAUCUUAAUAAAAAUGUUUUACUUGCAAAAGAUAAGUUUUAUGAAUAGUUAUAAUUACCGAGAAAAUGUAAUGAAGUGGAAAUACAUGCCUAGAAAAGUUCUGUCUAAGGAAAGACUUGGUAUUUAAGUGUGUCUUUACGAUCCACCUCUCUUUCCUGGGAACUAACAUGGUGUAUAUCCACAAAUUAUGACAUAAUUCUGUUAUAAGUUUUGUUAAAACUUUACUUUAGAAAGUGUCGUUGUGUUGUAAGACUUUCAAUGAUAAAUGAUGAUUCAAGAAAUAUCUAACCUUGAAUCGGAGGAAUGAAAGCGAUUAAGUUCAUUUUAGAUCAGAAGUUUUAUUUUUGCAUAAAAUUUUAUUUCGUAAGAUUAAUAAUUAUCAAAGUGACCUAAUUAGCGUUAUUUUGAUUUUAGCAUGAUGAAGAGUUCAAGAAGAGACUCGACGAAUUAAGCUCACCUGGAAUCGAGGAAACAAUCUUCACGACACACUCAGGUGAGGGAGAAAACAUCGUGACACAGUAGUGUCCGAAUAUGGUUCAGGACCUCCAAACUCCCUCACAAGUUUGUACUUAAUCAAUUGUCUGUUUUGUUUGGAUUAAGUACAACAAUAUUUCUUAUGCCGAAUUAUGUUAGGUUAUGUUUAUGUAUGAAGAUGCCAUGAUUAUUCCUGUUUAAUGUUGCUUGAAUAACUUUUCUAAGAAUUAUAUGUAUGAGAUAAUUGUUAAAUUCAAGGCUUAAAAACAUGUGUUAUAAAUGAGAAAACUUUUCAUUGAGAAAAGAAAUUUAACUAAGUUUCAGGCUUUUCUCGCUUGAUCGAGACAGCUCUCGCUUGAGCGAGAAGUGUCCAGAGAAAAUGAGUUUCCUCGCUUGGGCAAGACAGCUCUCGCCUGAGCUGAAAUAUGCACAAAGAAAACUGGUUGUUUUCUUGCUCUAGCGAGACAGCUCUCGCUUGAGCAACAUAUGCCUUAUAAAAAUGGUGAUUCCCUCGCUUGAGCAAGACAGCUCUCGCUUGAGCGAGAAGGCUCCAUACAGACAAGACUUCUUAAAGUCGUCUGAACGAUAACUCUCACAUGUGCGAGAGUCUAAUGGCAUUUUUUCCAUCAAGAAUCCAUUCACUUCCAAUCCUAUUCAAUAAAACCUAAAACACCUUUAUUGGAGAUAAUGUUCUUUCAAUAAGUAAAUGUUGUAAAGAUGAAUGAUUAUAUGAAACUCUUGGAAACGAUACAAAUAAGAGUUGUCAUAUCUAAAGUGAUGUUUGUAAAGAAUUGCAUGGUUAAGGACGAGGCCCGCAAGUAUUAUAUUAUGCCCACGCACCGAGAUCGUCUGAUCGUAAGAGGCUUGGCUUGAGAGCCGUCCAGGGUGAUUCAGCGAUGGUUUGUAGUGGUGCUGAGAAGUGUUAUAUGCCCAUGCAGCGAGAUCGUCUGACCAUAAGAGGCUUGGCUUGAGAGCCGUCCAAGGUGAUUCAGCGAUGGUUCGUAGUGGUGCUGAGGUUUAUUCUAUGUGGUUUAAAUGUUAAGAUCGGGUUCCACUAUAAGCAUUCCCGAUGGGAGAUGUCUUAGGAUGGGCAGAUCGUUAUAAAAGAUGGAUUAAAAUAUUUAAUUUACUAAUUUCGGUUAGUGUGCAUAUUCAUUGUGAAUAAUGAAGUAGUGGAGAGGAAAUUUACGGGAGACGAACGAGCUCCGAGAUAUUGAGAGGGACGGCGAUGGCGGUGAUUCGUCAGCAAAGUCUUGAGGGAGAGUCUAGGUGAGACGAGUCCCGUGUAUUCUUGGAUGAGGUGUUCUAUUGGAUCGGACAGUGCUCACAAUACAAACUAGACGAUCUCUAACAACCCCUCUUUGCAAUCAGGAUCGAUAAGAGGGAUGCCCAGAAAGUGUUUGAUAUGUCACCAUCCUGAAAUAGACAGUUUCGUUGGAACAGAUCGAUCAUAUAUAUAUCCUUGCGAAGAAUAAGUUUUGGUGCGAUCAAAUUGGCUUGUUAUGGGACCUGUACUCUCGGUUAUUUCCGAAUAGUUAUUGAGAGGAUAAUGUGUAAGGAUGGUGGACAUAUGCAUACAUGGUAUUUAUCGAUAUUGAUUCUAAAAUCAUAAGUUUUUGCUUCAUUCAUCAUUAAUACAUGUGUGUAUGAUCAUAUGAUAUAUCUAUACUUGUUCUUUGUCUUGGUGUGAUAUUUUGUGUAAUUCCACGACGUCAAUGAUAAGUUUUUCAUUAGAUGUUUUACUCUCUCUCUUUCUUUCUGGUGUACUCGUAUACAUCCAUGUUUAGAUGGACAAAUCAGCGAUGAUCAGGGGCUACCACUUUACCAUGUCCCACGAGGGGGCAUGCAGUGUUGAAGGAAAUAGAUACACCUACACUAGUCCUUGUGACCUGGAAUUGGAUCUCCUAUGUGAUGGCUCUAUGUUGCAUCUCCCGCCACAUUAUGCAGUUCGAGAAGCAUCGUUCACCCUACCAUAGCAAAGGUCCAUACUGCCGGUCCAUCCACACCAACUGAGGCACGAGGCAGAUCAGAGGUUGUCAGGACCUGGCCCCAACCGGGAUUCUCAUUUACUGACUCAACGGCAAGAGGGACGAAAGGAGCAGACAUGACUACUUCAUCGAGGCCUAUGGGGUACACCCUGGACCCUUCGAUGGAUUGGGCAACAUAUGAGGUGGUGGAGAACGAGGACGAUGAAGACCCGAGUGAGGUUUCCAGUGCACUACCAGUCUAGGAGCUCCUUUCUUUCUUUUGAGAGGGAACCUGUGUAGGGUACUUUUGUAAUGCCAACGCCUCCGACAUUAUUUUAUGUGUAUUUGUAUUUUUAGUAUUUGUUAGGGGCAAAGAAUAGACUCUGCCUUGUAUUUUAUAAACCAUGAUGUACGUAUUACAAAUUCAAGAAUUGAUUAAUGAGAAGUAUUCAAAAAAGAAUUGUCUUUCGUUCAAUUACAUUUUAAGUAUUAAGAAAUUAUUUCCACAAAGGUUUGAAAAUGUGACGUCUUGAAAGAGA
rnacentral:lncRNA from 1 species